rnacentral:rRNA from 1 species
GACGAACGCUGGCGGCGUGCUUAACACAUGCAAGUCGAACGGAAAGGCCCUGCUUUUGUGGGGUGCUCGAGUGGCGAACGGGUGAGUAACACGUGAGUAACCUGCCCUUGACUUUGGGAUAACUUCAGGAAACUGGGGCUAAUACCGGAUAGGAGCUCCUGCUGCAUGGUGGGGGUUGGAAAGUUUCGGCGGUUGGGGAUGGACUCGCGGCUUAUCAGCUUGUUGGUGGGGUAGUGGCUUACCAAGGCUUUGACGGGUAGCCGGCCUGAGAGGGUGACCGGCCACAUUGGGACUGAGAUACGGCCCAGACUCCUCCGGGAGGCAGCAGUGGGGAAUAUUGCACAAUGGGCGAAAGCCUGAUGCAGCAACGCCGCGUGCGGGAUGACGGCCUUCGGGUUGUAAACCGCUUUCGCCUGCGACGAAGCGUGAGUGACGGUAAUGGGUAAAGAAGCACCGGCUAACUACGUG